GAUGAACGCUGGUGGCGUGCCUAAUACAUGCAAGUCGAGCGAACGGACGAGAAGCUUGCUUCUCUGAUGUUAGCGGCGGACGGGUGAGUAACACGUGGAUAACCUACCUAUAAGACUGGGAUAACUUCGGGAAACCGGAGCUAAUACCGGAUAAUAUUUUGAACCGCAUGGUUCAAAAGUGAAAGACGGUCUUGCUGUCACUUAUAGAUGGAUCCGCGCUGCAUUAGCUAGUUGGUAAGGUAACGGCUUACCAAGGCAACGAUGCAUAGCCGACCUGAGGGGGUGAUCGGCCACACUGGAACUGAGACACGGUCCAGACUCCUACGGGAGGCAGCAGUAGGGAAUCUUCCGCAAUGGGCGAAAGCCUGACGGAGCAACGCCGCGUGAGUGAUGAAGGUCUUCGGAUCGUAAAACUCUGUUAUUAGGGAAGAACAUAUGUGUAAGUAACUGUGCACAUCUUGACGGUACCUAAUCAGAAAGCCACGGCUAACUACGUG
rnacentral:rRNA from 1 species